rnacentral:snRNA from 1 species
CAAUAUGAGGGUGAUCUUGCUGCAACCUCUGCCAUUCCAUCAAUUACCAUGGCUGAUCUGGCUAGUCAGGCGGGUUCCUCCACCUCCCUCAAUGCUCCAUGCGCGUCCUUCCCAAAGUUGCUCCCUCAGGAGUAGAGUCCAACCUUUCCCUAUAGAAGGGACCCAGCCUUCCGUCAAGGGCAUAUGCGUAUCUGCCCCCAGCUCCUCAGAGAAAGGUGAAGAAGGGCUCUUGGAGGAGCAGUGUUGAGCUGAGUUUCCAACGUGCUUAUUUGGAGGUACCGAGCAUCCACUUUGA